UACAGAGGUCUCAACCGUUGUUCGGAUUCAUUGGGCGUAAAGGGUGCGUAGGCGGUCGUGCAAGUCGGAUGUGAAAUCUCAGGGCUCAACCCUGAAACUGCAUUCGAUACUGCGCGGCUAGAGUGCUGGAGGGGAGACUGGAAUUUACGGUGUAGCAGUGAAAUGCGUAGAUAUAGUAAGGAAGACCAGUGGCGAAGGCGAGUCUCUGGACAGCAACUGACGCUGAGGCACGAAGGCCAGGGGAGCAAACGGG
rnacentral:rRNA from 1 species